rnacentral:rRNA from 1 species
CACGCAGGCGGUUUGUUAAGUCAGAUGUGAAAGCCCUGGGCUCAACCUGGGAACUGCAUUUGAAACUGGCAAACUAGAGUAUGAGAGAGAGAAGUGGAAUUCCACAUGUAGCGGUGAAAUGCGUAGAGAUGUGGAGGAACAUCAGUGGCGAAGGCGACUUCUUGGCUCAAUACUGACGCUCAGGUGCGAAAGCGUGGGGAGCAAACAGGAUUAGAUACCCUGGUAGUCC